UACGUAGGCAGCAAGCGUUGUUCGGAAUCACUGGGCGUAAAGGGUGCGUAGGCGGGUCUUUAAGUCAGGGGUGAAAUCCUGGAGCUCAACUCCAGAACUGCCUUUGAUACUGAGGAUCUUGAGUUCGGGAGAGGUGAGUGGAACUGCGAGUGUAGAGGUGAAAUUCGUAGAUAUUCGCAAGAACACCAGUGGCGAAGGUCGGCUCACUGGCCCGAUACUGACGCUGAGGCACGAAAGCGUGGGGAGCAAACAGG
rnacentral:rRNA from 1 species